GACGAACGCUGGCGGCGUGCCUAAUACAUGCAAGUAGAACGCUGAAGAGAGGAGCUUGCUCUUCUUGGAUGAGUUGCGCACGGGAGAGUAACGCGUAGGUAAUCUGCCUUGUAGCGGGGGAAAACUAUUGGAAACGAUAGCUAAUACCGCAUAACAAUGGAUGACACAUGUCAUUUAUUUGAAAGGCGCCAUUGCUCGAUUACAAGAUGGACCUGCGUCGUAUUAGGUAGUAGGUGAGGUACUGGCUCAUCUAGGCGACGAUACAUAGCGGACCUGAGAGGGUGAUCAGCCACACUGGGACUGAGACACGGCCCAGACUGCUACAGAAGGCAGCAGUACGGAAUCGUCAGGAAUGAGGGCGACCCUGACCGCGCAACGCGGCGUGAGGGAGGAGGGUUUCCGCGUCGUAAAGCUCUGUUGUAAGUCAAGAACGGGUGUGAGAGUGGAAAGUUCACACUGUGGCGGUAGCUUACCAGAAAGGGACGGCUAACUACGUG
rnacentral:rRNA from 1 species